AGGUGUGGAUGUGAGCGUCCUAACCAGUGAGGAAAAUGGCGAAAGUCUGUCACAAAGUAACCUGUGUCACCUUGUCCCGCGAGCCCAAAAGUGUAAAAUAACAUUUCUUUCCUCCUUUACUUGAGUCCCGGAUGACAAUUUGGAUAUAUUUAGGGAAAAGCGACACAAAUGUUUGUCCAAGUCCUCGAUGACAAGUCUAGGUUGGUGGUCUUAAAGUGCCAGCAAACAAGUUUGUCCUGGUGCUGGAAGCAGUCAGCUGUUUCCACCUGCAGCCUCCAAGCACACAACACAAGCUUUUCUGCACAAGGUUGCUGACCAUCUUGUUUUUCCAGCCUUCUUUGAGGGAGGAAAAGACUCAACUUCAAGGACUUGGAUUGCACACAACUUGGACGCAAGGCCACAGGAGCUGUCCCAAAACAUUGAGGACGACAACAAGGAAAGAAAGAAAAAAAAGAACCUCCUCCAACAACUCCACACAUGGGGAUUGUUACACGGCUUUUGAGAGACAGCUGCCUUAUGGACUGUGCCACAGCGGUCCCACACCACAAAGCACAGCCAUCUGGUAAGUGAGCCAAGCAAAUGGGCAAACUUUACCCGUGAACUGGUUUGCUACAGUAGUUCUGAUCGUCUUUUUUUUUUUACACUAAAUCGAGACGAGGCAGCAUUGUUGUUUUUUUUUAAUUCCGCAUGCCCAACGUUGCGCGUAGUCCAUUGAAACCAAAAAAAAAACAUAUUUGCAAUGUACUUUUUGUCCAACACGGCAGGCUUGAAAAAUGCAUUUCUUCGUCGUCUUUUUCUACUUUUUAUUUGCUUCUCUGCAGUCUCGCAAUAUUUUUAUGUUGUCCAAGUCCUAGCCUUGAUGCUAAAAAACCAGACCAUUUUAAAGUGUUUUAUUUACCUGAAAUACAGUCUAUUUUGUGUCUGUAGCUUUAAUCCUAAUGAGCUGUGAUUGUUGCUGACAGUUUUUCGUUUUUUGUGAACUUUAUAUACUUUUUACAGCUACACUUUUGCAAGAGAUAGGUGAUGCACAAUAUAGAUUAAAUAAAUAUGGCUGACAAGA